rnacentral:rRNA from 1 species
UACGUAGGGUGCAAGCGUUAAUCGGAAUUACUGGGCGUAAAGCGUGCGCAGGCGGUGAUGUAAGACAGUUGUGAAAUCCCCGGGCUCAACCUGGGAACUGCAUCUGUGACUGCAUUGCUGGAGUGCGGCAGAGGGGGAUGGAAUUCCGCGUGUAGCAGUGAAAUGCGUAGAUAUGCGGAGGAACACCGAUGGCGAAGGCAAUCCCCUGGGCCUGCACUGACGCUCAUGCACGAAAGCGUGGGGGGCAAACAGG